rnacentral:lncRNA from 12 species
AAAUGUUUUUGCUUCUGAAUAUUUUUGUGGAAACCAUGAUACACUACGAUUUAAAGAUAUGGGUUUCAAAACGUUUAUAAAUUUUAUUCAUAUUACAAAAAAUAUUUCAAAUAAGUGCUGUUCUUUUGAACUUUCUAUUUAUCAAAGACUACUGAAAAGAAAAAGUAUCAUGUUGUCCACAAAAAUAUUAAGCAGCACAACUGUUUUCAACAUUGAAAGCUGAUUUUCAGUGACCAAUUCUUGAAAUUUCACCAUUUGUCCCCCUAAUACUAAAUAUUUGCUAACAUCCUUGAUACAAUACCAAAACCUUAAUAACUUUAAUAUUUCUCUGUCACAGAUUACAAGUGCUGCAGGAAGAGGAAAGUGAUGUAGAAGUCAUACGGAAUCAAAUUGCAGAGUAAGACAUAUGGAGAAUUAUAAUAAACAUGAUAGUUGAUGAACAAGUAAAUCAGGAAUAACCAGCAUAUUUGUUAGUUCAUCCUGGGAAGACUAAUAUCAUAAUUUCUAACUCUUCUCAUGCUUUCCUUGUAGCAAACAUGUUUUAGUGCUCUUCACAUUAGUCAUGGUUUGCAAAACAAAAUGACUGAAAGUAGGGUCUCUGUAUUUUUUAAUAUGUGUUUUAUAUAUAUAUAUAAAAAAUAAAGAACUCACGCAUUUUCAGACGCACUGCUUAAGAUUUUAAGAUUAUGUCGUGUCCUAGCAACCGCAUCGUAUCCCAUAGAGGCGCGCGAUGACCUCUCUGCCGUUGCUAUAGUUACUAAUCGCGCCUCUGAUGCUGGUUUUCUGCGUCGUCUCAGUGAUGGAACAUUUUUAUCGUUCUAGUUAAUCGCGUCAACAUAUCAUACAACUUCUAUCGCGUUAAUGUAUAAACAAACGGCACAAAAAUGGAUGGAUAUGGACACUGCAUCACCUGAUGCGCUCAGAGACCGCGUCUGAUUUCAGAGUGUCAAGUACCUUCAGUUAAGGAGUUUGUUCCAGAAACACAAGAGGCAGAGGCUAUAGACACUGCGGUGACUGUUGAAACCCCUGUGGAGGAGUUCAAGUCCUCUUCACCUCUACAGGAGGAACCAGAGCCUGAAUCUGAACCUGAGGAGCUUCACGAGGAGGAGGAGCCCAGCGACUCUAGUGAAGCCGAAGAAGAACCUGAGCCGAUCACUCAGCAACCUCAGUCCAUUACCUGCACCUCUGUUUCACAAACUGAUUCACCGGUGGAGAGUACAGCUCCUGAAGAGGAAAGCAGUGUCCCUUCCAGAUGUG